rnacentral:rRNA from 1 species
AUGAAGUCGGAAUUGCUAGUAAUCGCGGAUCAGCAUGUCGCGGUGAAUACGUUCCCGGGCCUUGUACACACCGCCCGUCACACCAUGAGAGUUGGCAAUACCCAACGUACGUGAUCUAACCCGCAAGGGAGGAAGCGUCCUAAGGUAGGGUCAGCGAUUGGGGUGAAGUCGUAACAAGGUAUC